rnacentral:rRNA from 1 species
UAAGACAGAGGGUGCAAACGUUGCUCGGAAUCAUUGGGCGUAAAGCGCGUGUAGGUGGCUCUGCACGUCGGACGUGAAAGCCCGGGGCUCAACCCCGGCAGUGCAUCCGAAACGAGGGAGCUAGAGUGCUGGAGAGGCGGGUGGAAUUCCCGGUGUAGAGGUGAAAUUCGUAGAUAUCGGGAGGAACACCGGUGGCGAAGGCGACCCGCUGGCCAGCAACUGACACUGAGACGCGAAAGCGUGGGGAGCAAACAGGAUUAGAUACCCUGGUAGUCCACGCUGUAAACGAUGCGCACUGGGUGUCGCGGGUAUUGACCCCCGCGGUGCCGAAGCCAACGCGUUAAGUGCGCCGCCUGGGAAGUACGGCCGCAAGGCUA